AUGAGCAGGUGGCCAGCUUUUGGCACAAUGGGAUUGACCAGGAGAAGGUCUCCUUCCUGGAAAUGGUCAUUCUGUAGGUCUGUCUGUGGAGGGCUUUCUGGAACUCCUUGCCGAGUGCGUCGUGCAUCCCUGGUUGAGAGCGACUGUGAGUGGCCUGGGGUUUGCCAUCGCUUCCUGCGGGGGCUUUCAGGCCUUGUGCCCACAGACACCCCUGCUUUAAGGACCCUUGAGACAAGUGGCACAGGAGGCAUUGGUCGGGAGGGGGAAGGACGCCAGAGGGCUGCACCUGGCUCUGUCCUGCCCAGGAGACCGGUUGGUUGGUGUUGGAGCCCUGUAAACCCGGGCAGUGAUGAGAGGGGUGGCCUUGGUAACCCCACUGGGGUGACUGGGGCUGUCCCACCUUCUUGCAGGUGGAGAGCUGAACACUGGUACAAGCAGCCAAGACCUGGGCUGGCUGCUCAGGGCUAAGGCCCGCGCACGCUGCUGGGUCUGGAGCUGCCACCUGCUGAACUUGGCCCUGUGACGUUCAGGGAAGCGUGUGAGCAGAGAUGUGCGCCUCAAGUCCCCACUUUGAGAAGCCUGCAAAAAUCCAGCCUCUGCCUCCAAGCACUUGAGCAGUGCCUCCAGCCCACCGGGCCCGGGACGCUGCCCUUCCCCCGCUCCCUGAGCCUUGUGGCCUCUGGGAUCUAGGAGUAGUAAAUCCCGUGACUCCUUGUGCAGGGACGGUUUGAAACCUUGCCUUUCAUCAAAAUGACAGCCGGGGCUUCCGCUCCCCAGAGUGGAGGCAGAGGGAGCCAUCCGCUGACCCCCUCGAUGGGGCAGGUCACAGCCUGCAUGUUUGCAGUUCAGUGCACCAGCCUGGGCUCAGCAGUGGGGCCCCCACAGGGAAAGGGUGUCCGGCUCCUGCAGCUUCCCUUUAGGGAGGGGCAGGGAGAACGCUGGACUCUGCUGGACGCUGGCUUCUCCAUCUAGCGGCUCAUUGACAUCUGGUGAGGUCCCCGCGGCUGGACCGCAGGGGAGGCUCUGCAGCUUGUUACCAGGACCCCGCGUCUCCAGCGGUACCUUCCUUAAGAACCGUACCACAGUCCAGCAGCACAGAACAUGUCAGCAUCCCGCAUCGCAUCACCACCACUCCUGCCCCCAGAAUGUGGCUCUAGGAGAGACCCUGCCAGUGACGCCCGCUGAGGCCUGUCCAGCAGACUGGGGCCCAGAGGGCCACGCUGCGUCCCAUCCAGCCUGGGCAAGGGCAGCCCCCACCUCUGAGCUCAAG
rnacentral:lncRNA from 1 species